CCAUCUAUUACAUUUUUUUCAGUAUCGCCCGUUGCAGACUCCGUCUUCUCCCCUAUCUUCUCCUUUUAACUUAUCCCUCUGCCUUCUCCCUUGUGAUCCUCUUCUUCUCUGGUCAUGGUUUAAACACCUUCAUGGUCCAACAUUCCUAUAGAUUAUCAUCUUCUGCCAUCUUCUUCUAUUUUGUUUGAUUUGAGAAACUCCUAUGGUCCAACUCCAUCAUCUUCUUAAUGUUCCUAACUUGGGUUUUACUUCUUCCUUAAGUUGAAAUUUUUAAUCAAAGAAAAGGGAAGAAUACGGCAUCAAUGGAGGUUAUAUUUGUGGCGGUGGAAACUGGUUAGGAACGUAUUGAACAAAUAGAUAAUGAAGGGACAAACACUUCCUCAACUAAUAUGAAAGAUGAUGCAACAAGCAAAGUUCUUAGUCAUGAUCGUGGUCAUGUUAGAGGACUCAGAUUUGGGGUGACCACGUCAAAGUUGUCUACAUUUUCUCAAAGAGAUAGUUAUACCCAACUUGAAGAAAAGUGUAACAAAAUGGAGGGAGAGAUGAUUGAAAUGAGAUCUUUGAUAUCUCACCUACUCAAAAUUCAAGUUGAUGAAGGACUAUUAGUACAUGCAUCUUCAGAUAUUUUGUGAUCGACUACAUACACAACUAAGUUGGAGUUAUUUUGGAAUUUGAUAUCGACAUAUUUUGUAAUUUAUAAAUUUAUGUUUUGUUUCAUCUCCAGGUUUCUAGUACUCAUUACUAUAUAUCUUUUUGGGAUAGUUGCAAAUAUAGACA